rnacentral:rRNA from 1 species
GACAGAGGGUGCAAACGUUGUUCGGAAUUACUGGGCGUAAAGCGUGUGUAGGCGGCCACGUAAGUCGGAUGUGAAAGCCCCGGGCUCAACUCGGGAAGUGCACUCGAUACUGCGUGGCUUGAGGACUGGAGAGGAGACUGGAAUUCAUGGUGUAGCAGUGAAAUGCGUAGAGAUCAUGAGGAAGACCAGUGGCGAAGGCGGGUCUCUGGACAGUUCCUGACACUGAGACACGAAGGCCAGGGGAGCAAACGGG